rnacentral:sRNA from 2 species
CCGGCCCAGUUUUUUUUUUCUCAAACCCCGUUUCGAGUUUCCCGCAAGCGGCAUCCUGCGACUAUCUGUCGAUGCGGAGUUUGCCGUGUGGUUGCACCGCUUGCCAAUGCAGGAGCCAAGGGCGGGUUUGGAGCUUGACUCUCUCUCUCUCUCGUAACUUACUCGGCAGUUCACGCGAAUGCUGGAUCCGUAUCGCUAGAUUUAUCAUCAGACGGGAAUUAGAAUACCACCCUGCUUAGUUGGAGAACCCCCGCGCGCGGCGCGCGACUUAUGGGUUCCGUCGGUUUCGCAACAUCAAAGAGAGAAAAAUUAGCAAUGCACCCCAAGUCCACCCGUGCAGGAAUGCUUUCAAUAUUAAAAGACAAGGAAAUUAAAUCGUGCGGGCGCAUAACUAACGUAGAAAUUGAUUAUACAUCAGCGAGCUCACGCAUCAUCAUAUUACCCACCCCCCCAUCUUCU